rnacentral:rRNA from 1 species
UACGUAGGGAGCAAGCGCUGUUCGGAUUUACUGGGCGUAAAGGGCGCGUAGGCGGCGCGGUAAGUCACUUGUGAAAUCUCUGAGCUUAACUCAGAACGGCCAAGUGAUACUGCAGUGCUAGAGUGCAGAAAGGGCAAUCGGAAUUCUUGGUGUAGCGGUGAAAUGCGUAGAUAUCAAGAGGAACACCUGAGGCGAAGGCGGGUUGCUAGGCUGACACUGACGCUGAGUGCGCGAAAGCCAGGGGAGCAAACGGG